UGUCCUCCAUAGGAGGUCUAUAUUGAGAAGAUUCUUUUUGGUAUUGGGUGGUGGAACCGGAGCGUGCUCCAUCCACUCCAUGCAUUGACCUGAUAUUGCAGUGCUUCCAGGACCGGUGC
rnacentral:snRNA from 1 species